rnacentral:lncRNA from 1 species
AGUGUUUUGUUCAAGUAUCUUUUCUCCCUUAAUGCUGCAAAGAUCAAACUAUGAUCCAUGAUUGAAUUUAAAGGAAUUUUUCUUCCCUUUCCCUUUCUUUUUUCUCUCCCCUUUUCUCCCUCCCUUUAAAAAUGUGCAAAGCCAUUCUUAGCUGGGGUUGAAGGGAUACUUAAAGAACCAGACUGCAGGUCAGACCUUGGGGUGAAGUUAGUAAAAAUAAUACUGAAGAAGUUGGAAAAGAAAUACACAAGGAUACUAGUAUACGAGAAGCAUUUUCAGAGAAAAUAAUGAAAAGAUUAUUUUAUUGUUUCAUUUCAUUAUUUCACAUAAUGAAAAGAUUCUCAUGUACAUCUUGGGUAAGUGUGUUGCAUCAUGUUAUCAGUUAAUUGUUUGGAAAAAGUAUAACAAAAACGUCACCAAUUGACUCAUCUUUUCGGGGGAAGAGUU